rnacentral:lncRNA from 1 species
AUGUGACACACCUGCUCCCCUUUUGCCUUCUACCAUGAUGUAAGCUUCCUGAGGCCCUCACCAGAAGCCGAGCAGAUGUUGGUACUGUGCUUAUACAGCCUGCAGAACUGUGAGCCAAAAUAAACCUCUUUAUAAAUUACCCAGCCUCAGGUAUUUCUUUAUAGCAACACAAAAACAAACUAAUAUACCAUCUGUCUACAUUAGUCCAGUUAAUGAUUAUCUUCAUAGUGUGUGAUGUUAUGUAAUUAUAAUCUUAGUAUAUAAUUUUGAAAUUUUUAAAAUUAUAGGCAUCUUUCUAUGUUGCUACAUAGUCAUCACUAUUAUUAUGAUGACAAUGUGGCUCUUUCAUGAUUGUUUCAGAAUGUCUUCCAUACUAGCUAAUUUAAUUUUUGCCAGUCCAAUCCCAUGAAACAAAUUGAAUAGACAUUAUACUAAAUACUUACAAAGGAAAACUACUGGGAAAAUUCAGAGUGAAUUAUUGUUAAAACUGCCUAAAACAAAUUAGGAAACUAAAAUUGAUCCAUAGAUGCAAUUUUAGGUAAUACCCACAGCCAGUUCCCAUGGAUGUGAAAAAGUAAAGGGGGUGGACUAUCCAAGAAUCACUCUCAAACUUGCUAUAAGUACAAAAUCUGAAAUUUUUAUGAGCUUUCAUUUAUUUUUCACAUAAGACAAACAUUUCAUAUACGAUAUAUUUAGUAGCAUUUCUUCAGUCUACAGAGGAGCACUUAAAGUCUGUUCCUCCACCAAUGACUACAUGCCUUUUUAGCAGCUUAUAUGCUUAUUAAUAAUAUGAUGAUUUAGUUUCAGAAGGGGCAUCAUUGUCUUGCCAUAGGUCAAGGUAUGUCUUGCCACUACUAGUUUAUCUUUACUCAUUAUACUGUCUUAUAAUGUCUUACAUGGUGAAUCAAAUCUUUAAAUUCCUGUUGGCUUCUAUUAUUUUCAUCCUUCUUUCCAUAUUCUGUUUUACCAGUGGGCUGUAUCUAGUGAGUGGUAGAGGCAGAAGUAGAAAAGAGCUCUGGCUUUUGAUUCAAGGAUUAAUGUCCCUUUCACUCUUAUCGUGUUGCUUCUUGAACUGUUACUUAUCCUCAAAGUCCAGCUCAAAUGCAGCCUUUUCUGUCCCCAGCCCUUCACAUUGAAAUCAAUUAUUUUCUUUUCUGUGAGAGGUGAAUAGCACUAUAUAUUUAUUCCUCCAUUAUAGUCUUUAGGUCAUUCUGACUUGUAUUAGAAUUGUUCAUAUUAUCUCUUUUACUAGAUUAUAAACUCACUGAGAACACAGAUUGUUUUAUGACAAUGUUGGCAUUAUUGUUUUGCACAUUAACAGUUCAUGUUUAUUGAAUUUAAUAGAUACAACAUCCUGUGAGGAAAACAAAUAUUCUUUCCACUUUACUUACUGCAUUAAGUAAAGUUUAGAGAGAAGUUAAGUGGAUUCCUGGAAAUCACAGGCCUUCUGCAUCUUGUCAGCAUUCUAAUACUGCAUUUGAAAGCACUUUGAGGGGUGUCUCUCUGCUCUGUUCCAAAAGCCCAUGUAAUAUCUUUGAAAUAAAAGAAUAUAUUUGUUUUAAGGAUCUCCAAAAAAGGAGACUUAACAUAUCUAACUUAAAUACCAGGUUUUUAAAAUUUAGCUUACUUUUAACAUAUAUGUACCUGAUCAUUGUAUUCAGAGAGCUUCUCAUAAAUCUUACGGUAUAAAAAGUAAUACAUUUCUUUUCAAAAUAGAAAUAAAUUUUAUAAUAAAUUAACUUUUUGCAUAAUUCUCACUGAUUGGUGUGUUUACAAUCCUUUAGCUAGACAGAAAAGUUCUCCAAGUCUCCACCAACCCAGAAGCCCAGUGGCUUCACCUCUCACUUCCAUGUUUGAAACUUGACCUCCUGAACUUGAAAGUAGCAGUAACAUAUUUUGAUUUUCUGAUGAGAAAUACCAUGAUUUGACCACAGUCAUAGAAGACCUAAAUAAUGUGAAGAGAGUGGUAGAACAAAUAAGAAUAAUAUAUAGUGAAAAUGAGAAAAACGUAAUCCACCUGGAUGUAAUAUAAAUUAGUUCAGUUGAUACACUCUCAUGAAAAAUAGUUUAAAGGUCACCUGUUGCACUUAAAACCCCACUUACUCGAAACUACUAUGUUUUAGGGGAUAUUUUUCUCAAAGAAAAGUUAAUUUUUUUCCUUUUCCUUCUAUAACAUCACAUGUCAUUCCUUUGACUUCUCAUUUUCUUUAGUUUUUUAAGAAAAUUUUUAAAACUCUUGAUUUAUUAAGAUUUUAGAACUCUUGGUAGGCUCUCAAACCAUAAUUUCAUUUUUACCAAUACCUACUCCAGCUUGUAUCUUGCCCCACAAAACAAAGUACUAUUAAUGUAAUUUACAUUAAUGUCUGUUAAUUUGUCUCUAGAAUAUACUUAACCAUUUACAGAUAGAUUUUAUUUAAUACAGAAAUCUGCAGAAAGUACAACAGCUAUAGACUGUAGGU